CCUGAAAGCAAUUCGAUAUCGUUAAGCAAUUGGACAAUUAUCGGUGAAUUUAAUUGGACCUUUUAGGAUUCAUUAAUGCCGUUGAAUCAAUAGAGGCAAUUAAAUCGUGGCCAUUUUUUUAAUGCCCUCGUGAAUGCAGGAAACGGUAGCAGCAGGUAGCUUGCAGCAAUUAGCACUGAUAGCAGGUCUAGUUGAAUUUAUAAUGACGUUAUUUUUCCACUGGAAUAACCGUGCACUUAUUCACAAAUAAAAUGUUUCAAAAUGAGGGUAGGGAAUGUGGGGAAAGCGUGACCUUUCGCGCGAGACAAGAAACGGAUAGUAACCGGCCGGUUUCUGACCUCGAUCGAUACAUCGACUCGAGAGUUUAUUCUGAAUGAGAGAAUUCAGGGGUCCCGGGGUAGUCUUGCGGAAGUGCUUUUUCGGUUGAUUGGAAAAUUGUUAAUGAAAUGGCGAGGGAGAUAAUUUGUUGACGAGUGAAAUACAGGGGGAGAAGUGACGGAUUUAUGGUAGCUAGGCGGGUCGGGAUGUCUGCGUAGUAGAUCUAGGGUCAUCGGGGAAGACCUUCGAGAUUGCAGACGAUCGAACGUGUGUUGCUAAUCUCUUCCUAUUUCAGGGAAAUAAAAAUUCCAGCUGCUUGGGAUCUGAUGAUUAUUAAAGGUGAAUGGAAUUCCAGUGGAUGGAGCAUUGCGGGGGGUAAUUAUUGAAUAAAUUUUUAGGGAAGUUUGAGAGAUUGAUAUCACCUGCGCUGGGGAAUUUUUAGAGCACGUGCCGAUAAAUAUCUACGUUUGAUCAGUUGGGGUUUUUUAAUAGAGGCCUUUUUACGCUGUGUCCUUGGGUGGGUAAUGCGCAAUUGCUCAACGUCAUUGGAAUGCAACAAGUGACAAGUGGUAGCACGUCGAGAGAAGGGUGGGGAUUAGAGAUAUACAUCUUCACUGAUUUUUUUAACCGGGAAGUUGGUAUUUAUUGAUAGAUAGAUUUUUUUGGAAAUUGGCGAAUUCAUGGAGUUGAAACUCGUGCGAAAUCAAAAUAAAAAAUACAAAUAUCUCGGAAAAUUUAAAUUAUUGGCCCAACGUUAAUAUAUUUCAGUGAGUAAUUUUCUUGUCAGUUGUAGGCGACAAUUUUUAUUUGACUUCUUUAAUGUUCAUUAACCUUCGUAGGUUUCCCACACCCGGCCAAUUCAUCCCGGGCUAAUCCCCCGGUGAUCGUAAAGACCCCUAACGAGCGGACAUACUUCAUGGGACCAGUUAUUUCGCACUGCUAAGGAAUUACGUGGAAAUUAAUAAUAAUCCUCUCUCGUCCUGGUGGGAGAAAUGCCGGAGAUAUUCUCAAUGCUUAAGCCGGGUUUCUAUGAAGCAAUCAACUGACAAUUGGGAAGAGAGCAUGGGACUUCUCGCCCGCGUCCUUCGCGCACACGUACACGCGUCCUUGACUCCUUGGGUACUUUGAAAACGACAGGCGGGAUAUUGGCGCAGUUGUACGGACGGUAAAGAGCAGAGGGCCGUCGAAUGUUUCGAAUACCCGGAGGUCCAACCCCCGACGUGACAGAUGGGGAAUCUUCACUGGUGUACGACGACUACAGGAGAUGUUGUGGAUGAGCUGUAAAUGAGGGGAUUGAUCUGCCAGUGGACAGAUCGAAGAGUUCGAUCGAUGUUGCCCAAUAAAUUCAGAUGUGAGGCAAUAAACUCCCACUGAGACACAUACUGACAUGAUAUUGAAAUACUAUUUGAAGAAACCCACAGCGAUGCAAAGAUGUACGAGGCAGGUGGAAAUAAACAUUGGUAUAACCCUCUGGACCCCCACCAACCCCCUGCAACCAACCACGUGAAAAGGAUAAAUAGAUUUCUCCACGCGAGCCAAUGUUAUUUAUAGUUGGGACUGGGGAAUAGCACCCGCGAGGGUUUUUCGAUGGAAGCAUCCACGCGAUACCUAGUAGUAGAUUAAUUUAUGAUAGAAACCCAGGGCAAAUUCACUACCGAACGAAUCCGGAGGGGGUAGCUAAUUUCUAGAUGGAGCGGUGGGAGAGGGGGAUAUUUUUUUAGUCUACUUGCAAAGCUCUAGGUUUUUAGUCCGGUUGUGUGAGGAGUUUAAUACCUCCCUCGAGCUCUCUCCAUUCAUCAAAACGAUCGAUUCGCUUGGGUCGGCAGAUUCCUACCGAGAACGCCUCUCAGGAAGGAGGACUCCGGGUGAAAUUGUUUGUGGGAUUUUUUUCCCGGAAAUCGAUGGGAUGGAAUUAAUUUGUGGGUUUUGGUGGAUCCAUUUGAGCGAUGACAGAAGUUAUUAUAAAAAUAUUUCGUGUUUAAAAUUUUUUUUAUCAAAUUGAAUAAUUAAUUACACUUCAUUAGUGAAUAUGCGUGUGUGGCACGCACCCUCGUGCAGUGAAAGAAAUUAUGAGGAUGAAAAUUGAGGCUCUUUUUGGCUUCCGGGCGGAAGGGUAAUAAUUCCUGGCCGCGAUAGACUCAAAACGGAAAUUUAGUCAGUGUAGUAGUGUUGGGUGCGAAUGAAUUGGAAAAAGAGAUAAUAAGCAAAUAAACAUUGUAUGGGACACGUGUCGCAGUUCAUGACACCAUCAAAUGCAAGAGGACACCGUAGGAGUCACCGAUAAAUCACUCCACCAACCGCUCCACCUCGCUGAUGCAGUUGAGGGGUUGGGUGACAACGCGAUUGAAUUAUGGAAAACGUGAGCCCUCGAUGAUAUCACCGUUAAGUGACCAAUGUACCAUUGAUUUUCAUACACAUGAAACACAUGUGACCAAGUCAAGUUAUACGGAAAUAUUUUUCAAACUUAUCGUACUGUUUAAAUUCUCAUAUACCAUUACUCAAUGAUGCAUGGACAUUCUCUAUUCACUUCAGUGUAUACAAACAGCUACCGUGAUCACGUUUGAGGAUGUUUAGACAACUCCCACGAUUGUCAUGACUGGGGUACGAUACAUCGUGUUUGUCUCACGGUCUUACAAAACGGAAAAUGUACCGAAAUGAAAAAAAUCCUAGAAAAAUGGCAGGAGAUUUUUAUUUUUACCUCCGAUGGAAAAUCAUAAAUUAUGGACUUUAAUCGAUUUUAUGUAUUACUCAUGUGAUUUUUUUUC